rnacentral:rRNA from 1 species
CCUACGGGUGGCAGCAGUGAGGAAUAUUGGUCAAUGGGCGCGAGCCUGAACCAGCCAAGUAGCGUGAAGGAUGACUGCCCUACGGGUUGUAAACUUCUUUUAUAAAGGAAUAAAGUGAGGCACGUGUGCCUUUUUGUAUGUACUUUAUGAAUAAGGAUCGGCUAACUCCGUGCCAUCAGCCGCGGUAAUACGGAGGAUCCGAGCGUUAUCCGGAUUUAUUGGGUUUAAAGGGAGCGUAGAUGGGUUGUUAAGUCAGUUGUGAAAGUUUGCGGCUCAACCGUAAAAUUGCAAUUGAUACUGGCAGUCUUGAGUACAGUUGAGGUAGGCGGAAUUCGUGGUGUAGCGGUGAAAUGCUUAGAUAUCACGAAGAACUCCGAUUGCGAAGGCAGCUUACUAAACUGCCACUGACAUUGAGGCUCGAAAGUGUGGGUAUCAAACAGGAUUAGAUACCCCAGUAGUC